GGUGGGGCUCACGGCGGGUGUGCGGAGUGGGCGGGAAAACGUGGAGCCCGGGGAGAGGCCCCGCUGGGAGUUCUAGUUAGGCUUUGACAGUUGAUGACACCGGAAACUCCGACUGUGAGUGAACUCUCCGAGAGCGGGGAGACCUUGACUGGAUCUUCUGCCGCUAGCAUGGGGCCUGGCAGCUAGUGGUCAUAAUGAAAGCUGGCAUUUGAUGGUGAAGCACCAGGCAUGGCGCUCAAUGCUUUACACAUAGUAAAUCAUUUAAUCUGCAUGACAACUUGAGGAGAUGGCUUGUUCUAGAGGAGGCCAUGUCUUGAGCAUCCCUGUGGAGAAGUCAACGUGGCAAGGAACUGAAUCCUCCUGCCAACAGCUGUGUGAGUGAGCUUGCUGUGAGCGGACCCUUCAGCCCCAGUUACAGCCUUCACGUGUCUACAGCCUUGGCUGACUUCCUGACUACAAACUCCUGUGAGACCCUGAAGCGGGCCACCCAGCUAAGCAGCCUCCUGAUUCCAGACUCUCAGAAACCGUGUGAGAUAAUAAAUGUUUGUUGUUUUAAGCCAUUAUGUUUUAGGAGUUAUUUGUUUUGUAGCUAUAAA